GAUGAACGCUAGCGGCAGGCCUAAUACAUGCAAGUCGAACGGUAACAUGAGAGCUUGCUCUUGAUGACGAGUGGCGCACGGGUGCGUAACGCGUACAUAACCUGCCCCGCAGAGGGGGAUAGCCCCGGGAAACUGGGAGUAAUACCCCAUGGCGUUGCGAGGUCGCAUGACCUUGUAACUAAAGCUUCGGCGCUGCGGGAUGGAUGUGCGUCCCAUUAGUUAGUUGGCAGGGUAACGGCCUACCAAGACAAUGAUGGGUAGGGGGCGUGAGAGCGUGGCCCCCCACACGGGUACUGAGACACGGACCCGACUCCUACGGGAGGCAGCAGUAAGGAAUAUUGGUCAAUGGGGGCAACCCUGAACCAGCCAUGCCGCGUGCAGGAUGACUGCCCUAUGGGUUGUAAACUGCUUUUAUACGGGAAGAACGGCGUUGAUUUAUCAGCGUGUGACGGUACCGUACGAAUAAGGACCGGCUAACUCCG
rnacentral:rRNA from 1 species